rnacentral:tRNA from 1 species
GGGCAGGUACCAAAGUGGCCAAAUGGGGCGGGCUGUAAACCCGCUGGGGCAACCCUUCGGAGGUUCGAAUCCUUCCCUGCCCACCG